AGCAGCAUGGCGCAGCUGGAAGCGCGCGGGGCCCAUAUACUGUGAUGUAACUUACAUAUAUACCCCGAGGUCACUCGAUCGAAACGAGUUGCUGCUA